rnacentral:rRNA from 1 species
AGUGAACGCUGGCGGUAGGCCUAACACAUGCAAGUCGAACGGCAGCACAGUAAGAGCUUGCUCUUACGGGUGGCGAGUGGCGGACGGGUGAGGAAUACAUCGGAAUCUACUUUUUCGUGGGGGAUAACGUAGGGAAACUUACGCUAAUACCGCAUACGACCUACGGGUGAAAGCAGGGGAUCUUCGGACCUUGCGCGAUUGAAUGAGCCGAUGUCGGAUUAGCUAGUUGGCGGGGUAAAGGCCCACCAAGGCGACGAUCCGUAGCUGGUCUGAGAGGAUGAUCAGCCACACUGGAACUGAGACACGGUCCAGACUCCUACGGGAGGCAGCAGUGGGGAAUAUUGGACAAUGGGCGCAAGCCUGAUCCAGCAAUACCGCGUGAGUGAAGAAGGCCUUCGGGUCGUAAAGCCCUGUUGUUGGGAAAGAAAAGAAGCAGGUUAAUCCCCCGCUGUUCUGACGGUACCCAAAGAGUAAGCACCGGCUAACUUCGUG